rnacentral:rRNA from 1 species
UAGAGAGAGACAUGCGCGCAUAUCAAUAAGCGGAGGAAAAGAAACUAACAAGGAUUCCCUUAGUAACGGCGAGUGAAGCGGGAAGAGCUCAAAUUUGAAAUCUUCAAGGUUCUACCUUGACGAAUUGUAGUUUAUAGAAGUGUUUUCUGUUAGUGGAGUGGCAAAAGUUCUUUGGAAUAGGACAUCAUAGAGGGUGAGAAUCCCGUAUUUGGUCAUUCCUCCUAGCGUUGUGAUACACUUUCAACGAGUCGGAUUGUUUGGGAAUGCAGUCCAAAAUGGGUGGUAAAUUUCAUCUAAAGCUAAAUAUUGGCGAGAGACCGAUAGCGAACAAGUACCGUGAGGGAAAGAUGAAAAGAACUUUGAAAAGAGAGUUAAACAGUACGUGAAAUUGUCAAAAGGGAAGCGUUUGACACCAGUGUUGUUUUUCCGAAAAUCAAUUACGAAUGUUUUAUUUUUGAGGAGUUAUGACUUCAUCGGCUUGCUCCUUUCUUUAUGAAACUUUCUUAAUGCACUUUUCGGUUAACAAGUCAACAUCAAUUUCUUUUGUUGUAAAAGGGUAUGAGGAAGGUGGCUUUCUUUUCGGAGAAAGUGUUUAUAGCCUUGUACCUCUGCAAUCGGAGAGAUUGAGGUCUGCAGCGUAGAUCCUUCGGGGUUAGGAUACAGUUUGUGCUAAGUUAUAGCUUUUCAUAGACAACUUGUUGACUAUGUUUAGUCUUGUAGCUUACUCGCUGAUGCUAUUUUACCUACGCUUAGGAUGUUGAUAGUCACAGCGUGUAC